rnacentral:lncRNA from 1 species
UUGUGUUUGGUUUGUGUGAAUGAAUUCGGAUAAAACAGAAAUAACAAUUGUUUAUAAAAUUCAUUUCUUACUUCAUUAUAUUUCAUACGCUAUGUAUCAGAGAUCACAUCUUAGUUUGAGAAAGUAUGCUCUAUUUCUUUCUAUAUUCAAUUUUUUUUCAAAUUUCAUCAUAACAAUAUUGCAUUAACUCAUUUUUUUUGCAAAAUUCCUGCAUCUGUUAUUUUCAUUUAUCCCCGACCAAAUGCCAAAUAUCUAACAUAUAUAUUUCGUUUAGCUGAUCCAAUUUUUUGCUAUGGUUUCCUAUAAUUUUACUCUCUCUCUGCUAUAUGACAGCAAUGUCUGUUCUCUUAUCAGGUGCCUAAAAGCUAUCCAGUGUUUUAAGCUGUUUAAACACCGUUUUCUAGCUUUGAGAUCAUGUUUGGUACUGAGAUGAGUUAUGUUUGGUAAAAUAUAUCUUUUGUUGUAUGUGGAUGUCUCUUGUUUAUUGAAUUUCAGAUAGCCAAUGCUGGCAAUGGCAGGUGACUAGAUUUGUUUUUCAGCCGCCCGCAUAAACACUUAGAUUUUGUUUUAAUUAUCAUAAUGUUGUCGCUUUCGUUUCUAUUGUUUCUUAGGGGCCAUUUGAUAACGCAUGAAUGAGAAGAUUUAACUGGACGAGAGGGAGAGAGAGUCGUCUAGAUCAUUUGUUUGGUUUUUUUACGCUCUGGACGAACCAAAAUUCAGCUGAACGAAUGGGCUUCACAAUUCUAUCUGAACGGUUCGUUAUGCCACUGAUGCAUCUUUCCCAUAGAGUACGUGUUAUUUCUAAGUUCAUUAUAAAUGUGUUAUAUCAGUGUUUAGUUAAUGAAAUCAAUUUAAUAGAAUAAAUUUUAAAAAGAAAGAUAUGAAUUUAUCUAAUUAUUAUUCCCAUUAAAAACGAUUUUUUAUUUAUAUUAGUUAAUAUCUUUAUUCAUAUUUAAUAUUAAUUAUAAGACUUAUAAUUAACAGAGAGGUAUAAUAAAAUCUUUUUAAAUUAUUAAUUAUUUCAAGAUUAUGAAGUUAUUAUAAUUUAUUUUUAGAUUAAAAUUUAUUAUAUGUUCAGUAUAUAAUUUAAAAGUUUUCAUCCAUCCAGAAAAAUAUUGUUCAGAUCAGUCAAAUGACUCACAUGAAUGGUUCAAAAACUCGAAUGAUCCAGAAAUUUAUGUCGUUCAGAAAAUAUUUUUCAGAUUUAUCAAAUGACCCCUUAAUCAUCGCCAGACUCCAGCUGAUCGGCACUAGUGCAUAAGUUAGAGAAUUUAUUGAUUUAUUUGUCAGGAAAUUAUUAUAGUUGUGCAUACAUUACAUCCCUGACAAUAUUAAUACUCGCCUCUGAGCUGUGGCCAUUAUGGCAUUAUCAAAUAUAUCUAAGUCUGAUACUUGGCCUUGUACUCACUCCACAGCUGAUCAACUGAUUUGCCUAAAAGGUCGUUAAAGAAGCUAGCGCUGUAGCCAUUCCUCAUCUUCUUGUUGAGCUGAGCCACAAAACCAUUUC